CCUACGGGUGGCAGCAGUGAGGAAUAUUGGUCAAUGGACGAGAGUCUGAACCAGCCAAGUAGCGUGAAGGAUGACGGCCCUAUGGGUUGUAAACUUCUUUUAUAAAGGAAUAAAACGCGGCACGUGUGCCUUUUUGCAUGUACCUUAUGAAUAAGGAUCGGCUAACUCCGUGCCAGCAGCCGCGGUAAUACGGAGGGUCCGAGCGUUAUCCGGAUUUAUUGGGUUUAAAGGGAGCGUAGACGGGAUGUUAAGUGAGUUGUGAAAGUUUGCGGCUCAACCGUAAAAUUGCAAUUGAAACUGGCAGUCUUGAGUACAGUGGAGGUAGGCGGAAUUCGUGGUGUAGCGGUGAAAUGCUUAGAUAUCACGAAGAACCCCGAUUGCGAAGGCAGCAUACUGCAGUGUGACUGACGUUGAUGCUCGAAAGCGUGGGUAUCGAACAGGAUUAGAUACCCGAGUAGUC
rnacentral:rRNA from 1 species